rnacentral:tRNA from 2 species
GCAGAUAUGGUGAAAUUGGUUAUCACGCCUCUCUGAUACGGAGGUAUUUCCUGUUCGAGUCAGGAUGUCUGUA